rnacentral:rRNA from 1 species
UACGCUGGCGGCACGCCUAACACAUGCAAGUCGAACGAAGUAGCAAUACUUAGUGGCAGACGGGUGAGUAACAUGUGGGUAUCUGCCCUUUGGCCUGGAAUAACACGAGGAAACUUGUGCUAAUACCGGAUAAGUCUUUACGGAGAAAGCUUUAUGCACCAUUGGAUGAGCCCGCACUUGAUUAGUUUGUUGGUAGGGUAAUGGCCUACCAAGACUGAGAUCAAUAGCUGAUUUGAGAGGAUGAUCAGCCACAUUGGGACUGAGACACGGCCCAAACUCCUACGGGAGGCAGCAGUGGGGAAUCUUGCACAAUGGAGGAAACUCUGAUGCAGCGAUGCCGCGUGAGUGAAGAAGGCCCUUGGGUUGUAAAGCUCUUUCGUCGGGGAAGAAAAUGACUGUACCCGAAUAAGAAGGUCCGGC